UACGAAGGGGGCUAGCGUUGUUCGGAAUUACUGGGCGUAAAGCGCACGUAGGCUGACAGUUAAGUGAGGGGUGAAAUCCCGAGGCUCAACCUCGGAACUGCCUUUCAUACUGGCUGUCUCGAGUCCGGAAGAGGUUAGUGGAAUUCCUAGUGUAGAGGUGAAAUUCGUAGAUAUUAGGAAGAACACCAGUGGCGAAGGCGGCUAACUGGUCCGGUACUGACGCUGAGGUGCGAAAGCGUGGGGAGCAAACAGG
rnacentral:rRNA from 1 species